UACGUAGGGCGCAAGCGUUGUCCGGAAUUAUUGGGCGUAAAGAGCUCGUAGGCGGCUUGUCGCGUCGGAUGUGAAAGCCCGGGGCUUAACUCCGGGUCUGCAUUCGAUACGGGCAGGCUAGAGUUCGGUAGGGGAGAUCGGAAUUCCUGGUGUAGCGGUGGAAAUGACGCAGAUAUCAGGAGGAACACCGGUGGCGAAGGCGGAUCUCUGGGCCGAUACUGACGCUGAGGAGCGAAAGCGUGGGGAGCGAACAGG
rnacentral:rRNA from 1 species